rnacentral:rRNA from 1 species
ACGUAGGGUGCGAGCGUUAAUCGGAAUUACUGGGCGUAAAGCGUGCGCAGGCGGUUAUGUAAGACAGAUGUGAAAUCCCCGGGCUCAACUUGGGAAAUGCGUUUGAGACUGCAUAACUAGAAUACGGCAGAGGGGGGUGGAAUUCCGCGUGUAGCAGUGAAAUGCGUAGAGAUGCGGAGGAAUACCGAUGGCGAAGGCAGCCUCCUGGGCCAGUUUUGACGCUCAUGCACGAAAGCUUGUGGAGCAAACAG